rnacentral:rRNA from 1 species
AGAGUUUGAUCCUGGCUCAGAUUGAACGCUGGCGGAAUGCUUUACACAUGAAAGUCGAACGGCAGCACGGACUUCGGUCUGGUGGCGAGUGGCGAACGGGUGAGUAAUAUAUCGGAACGUAUCCAAUAAUGGGGGAUAACUAAUCGAAAGGUUGGCUAAUACCGCAUACGCCCUACGGGGGAAAGCAGGGGAUCUUCGGACCUUGCGUUAAUGGAGCGGCUGAUAUCUGAUUAGCUAGUUGGUGAGGUAAAGGCUCACCAAGGCGACGAUCAGUAGCUGGUCUGAGAGGACGACCAGCCACACUGGAACUGAGACACGGUCCAGACUCCUACGGGAGGCAGCAGUGGGGAAUUUUGGACAAUGGGCGCAAGCCUGAUCCAGCCAUUCCGCGUGAGUGAAGAAGGCCUUCGGGUUGUAAAGCUCUUUCGCAAGGGAAGAAAACUUACUUUUUAAUAAAGAGUGAGGUUGACGGUACCUUGAUAAGAAGCACCGGCUAACUACGUGCCAGCAGCCGCGGUAAUACGUAGGGUGCGAGCGUUAAUCGGAAUUACUGGGCGUAAAGCGUGCGCAGGCGGUUUUGUAAGUCAGAUGUGAAAUCCCCGAGCUCAACUUGGGAACUGCGUUUGAAACUACAAGACUAGAAUAUGUCAGAGGGGGGUAGAAUUCCACGUGUAGCAGUGAAAUGCGUAGAGAUGUGGAGGAAUACCAAUGGCGAAGGCAGCCCCCUGGGAUAAUAUUGACGCUCAUGCACGAAAGCGUGGGGAGCAAACAGGAUUAGAUACCCUGGUAGUCCACGCCCUAAACGAUGUCUACUAGUUGUUGGUGGAGUAAAAUCCAUGAGUAACGCAGCUAACGCGUGAAGUAGACCGCCUGGGGAGUACGGUCGCAAGAUUAAAACUCAAAUGAAUUGACGGGGGCCCGCACAA